rnacentral:lncRNA from 1 species
CAACCAUAAAGCAUUGAUUCUACUAUCCUCCCUAGAUGAAAGCUGGGAUUCGUUGGUGACCAGUCUUGAAGUGGUGCCAAGUAUGGAAUUUAGCUUCGAUUUUGUCAUUUCAAAGUUACUGGAUGCUCAACAGAAAAGGGAUAAUAAAGAAGAACAACCGCGUACAACCAAGAAGGGGGAUGUUUCUGCAAUUGCUUCUACAUCAAAGACUGCUCCCAAGGUAAAGUGUUACAAAUGUCAAAAGUUUGGACAUAUUGCUAAACAUUGUAGGAGUACAUCUGUCUCCAAAAGAAGUGAGGGCAAAGCGCAGCAAACGAACAGAGNUAAUUGGAAAAGAGAUAACACUGAACAGGCUUUCCUGAUAACAACAGAAACUGAGACUAACAAGUUCAUAAUUGACUCUGGUUCCACUAGACAUAUUGUAAACAGAAAGGAACUUUUACAAGACUUAAACACUUUUGAUGAAGCCGUAAAAGUAAAAAUGGCUGAUGGUAAUGUCGUACGAGUAACACAAGGAGGUAAACUUUAUCUUGAAAGUCUCAAAACAACUUUGCAAAAUGUUNUAUAUGUACCUGAAAUGAAAUAUUGUUUACUUAGCGUUUCCAAGCUAGUCAAAGAAAAUUUUGAUGUCAGAUUCAGAGAGGAUGAAUGCCUGAUAAUGAAAAAUGAUAAGGUUUGCAGUAAAGCUUAUUUGAAAGAUGACCUGUACUGUCUAGAAAUGCCUGAACAAUGUGUUUGUACUGUAAAUACUAGUUUUAAUACUUGUUUACACAGCUUAAAUAAUUGCUUGCAUGAUUGGCAUAGAAAGCUAGGCCAUAUCUCCUUCCAAACUUUGGCCAAAACAGUCAAAGCAUGUGACAUAAAGGUGCAACCUUGCAAAACAUUUCUUGAGUGCACUGUUUGCAGACAGACUAACUUGAAAAGAUAUCCUUCCACUCGCAUCAGUGAAAGGAAAAGUUCUAGGCCUUUUGAGCUUGUACAUGNAGAUUUGCAAGGUCCAAAUGAAGUUUCCCUAGGGGGAUCUCGUUUUAUGUUAUUGCUGACAGAUGAUUUUUCAAGAUAUUCAUUUGUUUAUUUCUUGAAACACCAGUCAGAAGUUUUUGAAUAUUUUAAACAAUGGGUGAGAAUGAUUGAGAACAAACACAGCACAAAUGUUGCUGCAAUACAAACUGACAGAGGAGGUGAGUUCAUGAGCAAACAAUUCAAAAGCUGGCUUCUUAAGAGAGGAAUUCAGCACAGGAUGACUAAUCCUUAUAGCCCAUUUGAAAAUGGUGUUGCUGAGAGGAGA